rnacentral:rRNA from 1 species
UACGUAGGGUGCGAGCGUUAAUCGGAAUUACUGGGCGUAAAGCGUGCGCAGGCGGUUUUGUAAGCCAGAUGUGAAAUCCCCGGUAUACCUGGGAAUGGCAUUUGGGACUGCAAGGCUUGAGUGCGGCAGAGGAGACUAGAAUUCCUGGUGUAGCAGUGAAAUGCGUAGAUAUCAGGAGGAAUACCGAUGGCGAAGGCAGGUCUCUGGGCACUUACUGACGCUGAGGAGCGAAAGCGUGGGGAGCGAACAGG